GUGAUCCUCAUAAAAUACCUCGAGAGCAUAUGAAUCGAUAGAAGAAAUUUUGGCAUCGGUUAAGGUCGAGGUUUCUUGUACACGAUGCUAAGCUGUCUCCGAUAAUAAUUGGUGCUGCUACCAGGACCGAACGUUCUUUUGAGAGUUUCUAAAAAUUUGGCAACUGUAAGGCACGCGCGAACUGCUAAAUAUUAUGCUCGUCAUAUUUUGGAAACGAGAUCAUGAGAUGCCUCGCGGAUGUACGAUUUCGGAUAAAUGGAGUAAGCGACAGCGAACGUUAUAUCCGAUGGUAAAUUGAAGAACAU